AGAAAAUAUAGCGGCAAAAGACAUCUUGACAAAAGCAUCAUUGGUGACUGGGUAUUACUUAGAACUUAAAUUCCCACUAGUUAAGAUCCACAAGUAGGACCGCAGAGGAGUAAGCAGACAGGGAAUCUUGCUCUGCUUAUUGUGAUGUUGUCAUGAGAGCAUCAAACUGAAUUAUCUAACACCAUUUAAUGUAGUCCUUUUUCCUAUUAGCCUGCUCACUACGGACAGAUUUUUCUGAAUAUGUUAACUGUUUGCAGCUGUUGAAUGAAGCUGUGUCCAGUACUGAAGAGAGGCUUCAGCUGUGUGAUUGCUUAGUUACGUGACACCCAUAGUUGAUGGGUUGUUUAGGAGUUGUUUACAGCUGUUAUUCAUUCUCCCCAUGAGUUACAGGUUUUUACUGGCAGAGCUGUAAGGUAGAAUGGACCUUUACCAUUUACAGCACAUUUUGCCUGUGUCUUAUUGACCAAAGAAGGGAAGAGAAAUAUGAAAGAAGAAUGAUGGUUUUCAUUUCAGUUUACUCAUGUAAGUCGCAGCUGCCAGACUGUUUUGAAAAUAUUAAGGGAGAGAGACUGAAGCAUGUGUUAUCCAGAGUAUUGCUUCACUGCACGUCUAGGAAAGAUUGGAAGGUCUUUAACAGUGGAGACUGCAAGAGGCUUGGCUGAGUGACUACUGAAAGGAUACCUGAGAGGUACAAAUGAAAUAGAUGAAAAAUAUAAUCAAGUGGAUGGAUUCUUUUCCACUCGUGACAUUCAAAUGCAAGCUGGGAGGCAGUCUGGCAUAACUAUCUGAUGACAGAUGUUGAAUUCUGAAGAUGACUUUGAUUGCAGUCCCACUGUUAGUGAACCAUAUAUUUUAUUCUGGAGUUGUUUUUUAGUUUAAUUUCAACAUUUCAUCCUAGAAUAUACACUCAUCCUUUUAACAGACAUUAUUUGCAGUGUCACAUCAAGACCUGCUGUGUAUUGGAGAAUCUGAGCGUUCAUUCAGUAAUAUUCUAGUCGUGGUUGUCUUAGGAGAGCAACAAUACUAGAAGAUUACCAAAAGCUAUUAAAUUAGCGUAUUUUUCCAUGGGUUUUUAAUUGCAGAGUCAGGUUUACUACUUGGAGUUAGUGAUAGUAUCUCUUCUAUUCCAAUAUUUUCUGUAGCUGAUGCUUUCCAACACUGGAAAAUGAUGCCAACAUGAUGGCACCAAGUAUUGAGAUAAGAGUUAUUGUUCAGCCAUCUGUAACUAACAAUAUCUAGUUACUGACUAAAUAUAUUACAAAAGUAAUACACAGCUUGGGGGUUGCUCAAUUAAGGAAAAUUAGAUUACAUCAUCCUAGUAUUAUCAAUGACCUAGAACAGUGGAAACUCUGUAUAAUAUAUUUAUCUGUUAUGAAAUUAUCCUCUGUGUUUGUACCCAUCCAAACAAAGAACAAAAAAAGACUUCAUAAAGUUCAUCCUCAGGAUAGGGAGGUUUAUGACUCAAGGAGAAAAUCCAAAACAAACCAAAAAAAACCAAAAACAACCCAAAACAACACAGAAGAAUGAUCAAAUAUUUUCAUGAUGAAUAUUGGCAGUAUAUUUCCCUUUUGUUCAGUGAUAUCUUAUCAUUUCCCAUUUUCCCAUAAUUUUGUCC
ensembl:lncRNA